rnacentral:lncRNA from 1 species
AUUCUAGCCCUGUUGGACAGCCGAACCCAUCACAACAAAUCAAUGCCAAAAAUGGCAUUUCAAGAGGAAAACAUAGCAUUUAUUUAGUACCCCCAACAGAGUAGCUCAAAGUGAUUUGAAAAUGUCUCAUUAAUCCUCAUAACACCCCUGUGGGAUAAUAAUAAUAUUAUUAUAACGUUUAGGCGUAGAACUGUGGCAAAGCCAACAGCUUCUCUGAGCAUGUGCAGGAUUUCCUCAUAUUUCAGUCUGCAAUACUAGAGCCUGACUAAAACCGUCAGGUUUGCAAACAGCAAGGGUAAAUAAAUCUUGGUGUUUGGCCUUUCUGUGUUGCUCUAGGCAUAGUUUGUGUUUCCUACUGACCACAUCAAUCCCAGAAAUAGUUCACCAGUUGUUUGCCAGAUGGUAAGCAGCAUUUAGGAUUAGCUCAGAAGUGUUUGAGAGUGGGACAAGGCAGGGCUAGAGGUCCUGAUCCACAAUUACAGAUAAAUGAAUGGAGAAAUAGCACCUAGUAACAGUGUAAAAGCGUUCCUAUUUCUCCACAUCAAAGUAUAAUAAUAAUAGAAAAAAGAGCACCUAGUAUGUGCACAGCAUUGUUCUAGAUACUGUGGGGAUAUGAAGUUUAAACAUAGAUCAUGCCCUCAUUGGGCUUACAUGCUGUUGAAAAGAUAGGAUAUAAAUCCAUGAAAAUUUUUACAAUGCUAUUUAUUAACAAUACAUGACAAGAGUACUAGAAAUGUUACUUGUGACUAUUUUGUCUAUUCUAGCCAAGCUGGAUGCCUGGCUGUUUCUCAGUUAUACUAAAUGAGUUCUGCUCUCAGGGUCUUCAUACUUGCCCUUCCCUCUGCCUGCAACACUCUUCCUCCAGUUUUUUUUUUUUUUUUUUGGCUCUCUCCAUCACUUUAGGUCUCCAUUAAAACUGUCAGCUUCAGGGAAGUUGCCUUCCCUGACCACAACCACACUAAUUCAAAUAGCAAUCCUUCCCCGCCUCCGUUUGGUAACUCUCUAGUCUCUUAUCUCCUUUAUUUUUCUUCAUUUCGUUUAUUUACUUGACAUUAUAUUUUAUAUUUAUUUUGUUACUUUCUUAUUGUCUGUCACCUGCACUAAAAAAUAAACUCCUUGAAGGCAGGGUUUGGGCUUUUUGACUUCUGUAUGCUCCAGAUCUGGAAGAGUACCAGGCACAUCGUAGAUGCUUAAUGGAAGAAAGAAAAGGUACAGAAUGAACAUACAGACAUGUGACAGUACUCUCUCUCUGUGUGUGUGUGUGUGUGUGUGUGUGUGUGCCAAGUGUUUAUUUUGAAGACGUAUCUGUCUAGUUCUGGUUCAUAGAACCAGUUAGGCUAUACACAUAUAUAUACAAGGAUUGUUUUUUAAGUGCCACUUCUUCCCUUUUUUUUUCACCUUCCCUUCCCACCAUCCUGAAGGGGUCUGUCCUGCACUCCAGAAUUAUACUUUAAACUCCCCCACUUGAUAUUCUUCCUGAAGUUCCCCAAACUUAAUAUUUAUAACACUGACCUCAUUAUCUUCUCCCCCAAACUUGCUUCUCUUCCUGUUUUUUUUUUUUUUUUUUUUUUUUGUGCUAGAAUACGGAGUCAUCCCUGCAUCCUUCCUCUGCUCUCACAUCUAUUCAGUCACUAAGUGCUUUCCAUUCCCCCUCCAAGCCCUUCUCAAUUCUGUCCAUACCUCUCCAUUCUCACUGCCACUGUCCCAGUUCAGGCUGCCAUGACAGUUUCAUAACAGGCUCCCUGCUUGCAGUCUCUCUUUUAUGUGUUUUAUCCUCCAGGAUAUAGCUGAGUUAUUUUUGUAAAACAUAGGUUGGAUCACAUUGCUCUCCACUGCUGCCAUGAUGGCCAAACCCUGGCUCUGACCUGUCAUUCUGGCCGCAUCUCCACACUACUUGCUGGUCCUUGGACAGGUCAUCCACUUACACACUGCUGAGCCAUUGCUCAUGCUAGCUGCUUAUGCUCUAGCUUGCUGGAUACUCCUUUCACCUUUUUCCACUGGUGAAUUCAAUCUUCAAGUCCCAGCUUAGGGACCACUUCUUUUAAGAGCCCCACCUUCUUGUCAGUCAUAAUUACCACUUCAAAGAAGAUUCCAUGUAACUGAUAAAUGAAUUCAGUGAUACUCUUUCUCAUCAGAGCUCUUACGGUAUUUUGUUUAAAGCCCCAUUAGAGGGCUUUAUUGUACUAUAUUUAGGUGUGUUUGAUAUGAUCUGUCUCCCUAUGAGAAUGUGAACUCCAUAAUACUAAUAGCUAACAUAUUGAGCAGUGAAUACACUAUGCUAAGUCAGGCAUGGUGCUAACCACUUUAUAUGCAGUAACCUCCAACAGCCCUGUAAGGCAGAUAAUAUUACUACUGUAAUAGCAGUAGUAAUAUUUCACAGAUAAAGAAACUGAAUGCAGGGUGGUGAAUUCACUUGUGCAAGGUUAUAUAACUAGAAAAUGGUAGAACUAGGAUUCAAACCAAGAAGUUCACAUCCUUAAGCCCUACUGUAGGCUACCUCUGUGGUGAUUAGAGGCCUUAUCUUAUUCAUCUUUGUAUUUCCAGUCUCUGGUAUUGUGUUGCUAUAUGAUAAAUGCUUUUCAUAUAGUAUAACAGAAGAAAAAUGAUUACGAAGCAUACUAGCUAUUUGCUAAAAAACUGAUAGACCAUGAUGAAAGAAUUAGUCGUGUUCCUCAAUGCAAGGGCUAUACAUGGGCUUUCCUGAAUCUGUACCAUUUUUUUUAAGAAGUAAGAAAGAUGCAAGGUAUAAAGAGAAAGUUAUUCCAGAAGUAGAUGCAGAUAUAGGUCCUGACUGGGACUAACAUGGCUCUCCAGUGUUGCCGUAUCCUCAGAAAGACCCAGCAGUCUAAGUCCUUGUUCUCACAUGGCAGAGUGAUUUUGAGAAAAACAUUUCUAAGCCGAGCGCAUUGGCUCAUGCCUGUAAUCCCAGAACUUUGGGAAGCCAAGGCAGGCAGAUCACUUGAGGACAGGAGUUUGAGACCAGCCUGGCCAACAUAGGGAAGUCCUGUAUCCAUGAAAAAUACAAAAAAUUAGCUGGGCGUGGUGGUGCGUGC